rnacentral:rRNA from 1 species
CGAACGCUGGCGGCGUGCUUAACACAUGCAAGUCGACCGGAAAGGCCCUGCUUUUGUGGGGUGCUCGAGUGGCGAACGGGUGAGUAACACGUGAGUAACCUGCCCUUGACUUUGGGAUAACUUCAGGAAACUGGGGCUAAUACCGGAUAGGAGCUCCUGCUGCAUGGUGGGGGUUGGAAAGUUUCGGCGGUUGGGGAUGGACUCGCGGCUUAUCAGCUUGUUGGUGGGGUAGUGGCUUACCAAGGCUUUGACGGGUAGCCGGCCUGAGAGGGUGACCGGCCACAUUGGGACUGAGAUACGGCCCAGACUCCUACGGGAGGCAGCAGUGGGGAAUAUUGCACAAUGGGCGGAAGCCUGAUGCAGCAACGCCGCGUGCGGGAUGACGGCCUUCGGGUUGUAAACCGCUUUCGCCUGUGACGAAGCGUGAGUGACGGUAAUGGGUAAAGAAGCACCGGCUAGCUACGUG